rnacentral:rRNA from 2 species
UGGGGAAUAUUGGACAAUGGGGGAAACCCUGAUCCAGCAAUGCCGCGUGAAUGAAGAAGGCCUUAGGGUUGUAAAGUUCUUUCACCUGUGAAGAUAAUGACGGUAGCAGGAGAAGAAGCUCCGGCUAACUCCGUGCCAGCAGCCGCGGUAAGACGGAGGGAGCUAGCGUUGUUCGGAAUGACUGGGCGUAAAGGGCGCGUAGGCGGUUUUUUAAGUGAGGAGUGAAAGCCCUGGGCUUAACCCAGGAGGUGCGUUUCAUACUGGAAAACUUGAGUGCGAGAGAGGAAAGUGGAAUUCCUAGUGUAGAGGUGAAAUUCGUAGAUAUUAGGAAGAACACCUGUGGCGAAGGCGGCUUUCUGGCUCGCAACUGACGCUGAGGCGCGAAAGCGUGGGGAGCAAACAGG